rnacentral:rRNA from 1 species
CUGGCGGCGUGCUUAACACAUGCAAGUCGAACGAUGAAGCCGGAGCUUGCUCCGGUGGAUUAGUGGCGAACGGGUGAGUAACACGUGAGCAAUCUGCCCUUGACUCUGGGAUAACUGCGGGAAACUGUAGCUAAUACCGGAUACGACACCUUGGGGCAUCCCAGGGUGUGGAAAGAAUUUCGGUCAAGGAUGAGCUCGCGGCCUAUCAGCUAGUUGGUGAGGUAAUGGCUCACCAAGGCGACGAUCAGUAGCUGGUCUGAGAGGACGAUCAGCCACACUGGGACUGAGACACGGUCCAGACUCCUACGGGAGGCAGCAGUGGGGAAUUUUCCGCAAUGGGCGAAAGCCUGACGGAGCAAUCUCGCGUGGGGGAUGACGGCCUAUGGGUUGUAAACCUCUUUUUUCAGGGAGGAACAAAAUGACGUGUACCUGAAGAAUAAGCAUCGGCUAACUCCGUG